rnacentral:tRNA from 1 species
GGAGAGAUGGCCGAGCGGCUGAAGGCGCACGCUUGGAAAGCGUGUGUACCCAAAAGGUACCGUGGGUUCGAAUCCCACUCUCUCCGCCA